AAGGAAGUGCUAAACAGGCAGCUCCAACCUGAGAAUGCAAAAAAAAGGAGAGACGGGAAAUGGUUUUGAGGCGCUCUUAAAAAGGGAAGUAGCAGCCGGGUGCCAGUGGUUCACACCUGUAAUCCUAGCUACUUGGGAGGCUGAGAUCUGAGCACUGAGGUUCAAAGCCAGCCCAGGCAGCAAAGUCCCCA